rnacentral:miRNA from 1 species
AAUAAUAAUUCGUUGGGCCCAAAC